AUCCUCUCAUACACUUCAUACUUCGAUAACAGGACAAGGCUCCACGCGGGAGCAAACUUACCUCCAUCAGAGGCCAGGAGAGAUGCGGUCCUCUCAGUACAUACUCCUCGGUGUGCCUCAGCGCUUACAGGUUUGCUCCACCUGACAAUAGCCCCACCUUAUGUACCCAGCCUUUCAUUAAGUGGUAUGUCAUUCUCAAACUGUAGCAUACUCAUUGGAUAAAGUUAGAAAACAAAAUGAGCUGCGUGUGUAUUUCAGUGGCCGAAUCCUUUAGUGUGGAUAGGUCCCUGAGUUCCAUCUACCACAUUGCCCAAAAUAGAACCACACUCCAGCCCCUCAGAGGCUGCUGCUGUUGCCACAGUGUAUGUGUGUGUGUCAUUCCUGAUAUUUACUGUGUAUAAAUAGGCACUUAAGCUCUUUAAAGUAAAAAAUGGAAUUAUGAUAUAAAUUGCUUUAAUCAAUUUAUGACUCUACUUACCAUAUUCCAUAGCAUGCAAUGCUGUCACUAUCCAGGUUUUCAUUCUAGAAUGUGCUUUCCCAGGGGCUUUCUUCCAGUGAAGACCACCUGCACACUGAAUCCAGUCUCUUUGCAUCUGCCACACUUGUUCCUUACACUUUUAAUUCUCCUUGACAUUGUUGACAUUUUUAAAUAAAGCUUUUAUAUCAGCCUUAAAUAGAUUUGAUGGAAUAAGAAAUAUAGCAAUUUGAUAUGUCAUACAGCUCACUUUAGAAUAUAACUUCCGAGUCAAAAAUUCCAUUUUAGUCUCUCC
rnacentral:lncRNA from 1 species